GGGUCCGUAGGUUGGUCGUGCCACCGGUACGUACUGGUCUCACUGAUUCCUCCUUCCUGAAGAACCGUAAUGCCAUUAAUUUGGUGUUGCGGGGAAACAGGACUGUUACUUUGAAAAAAUUAGAGUGUUUAAAGCAAGCUAACGCUUGAAUACAUUAGCAUGGAAUAAUGAAAUAGGACGAUCGAUCCUAUUUUGUUGGUUUCUGGGAUUGACGUA
rnacentral:rRNA from 1 species